rnacentral:lncRNA from 1 species
GUGCACGUGAUAUCCAAUCGAUCAAAUAUAGGACAUCAAAUCAAUCCACUAUGAAUCAAGAGUCAAGGUAGGAUGCUACGAUACAAUCGAUGAUGAGAUCUCAUGAUGCUUGACCUGAUCAAAGUGGAAAUCAGCAACUGUCCAAUAGUUAAUGAUCAAGAUCCGUUCAUCAGGAUCUAUCAAGACUAAAGGGUCUUUCUAAAAUCCAGAAAAUCUUAGAAGGGACAAUCCAAAAGGUGACACUUUUAGAGAGAGAAACUGGUAGAGAGAGUCUGAUUUUCUUAAAGAGAGAAAGUAAAGAGAGAGUGGAGAGAGAAAGUAAAGAGAGAGUGGAGAGAGAAAGUGAAAAAAGGGAUAGAGGGAAGAGAGAGAAUCUUUCUUUUUUCUCUUCUUUUUUUUUUCUUUCUUUUUCUUCUUUCUCUUCUUUUUUAUUUCUUUCUUUCACGAAACAGAGGACUCAAGGUCCUCUUCCUUUCUUCCUUAGUGGAAUAGGGGGGCUAUUCCUCCCCUUGUUCCUGAAGCUAGGAGGUUCUCCUCCCAGUCGAGGACUGCCAUGGCCGGAGGGGUAGUCCCUGACGGCGACAGCCGUCCGGGUCUGGUGACCGAUGACGGCCUAUGGCAGUGGAAAACCAAGAAAAUGCCCGGGAAAAAUAGGGGAUUUGAUAACAAAAUUUUUACAGAAUUUCUGGCAGCAAUCAUGUUUAAAAUCCGAGCUUAGGACCUAGAGAAAAUUGAAAAGAAGAUCAUCCGAUUGGGUUACCUUGUCUUCGGUAAAGAUUGGUUUGAUCUUUUGAUGGCCGCAAUGAGUUCAAUCACCGGUAAUCCAAGAAGAAAAAUGGGGAAAAGGGCAGCUAACGACAGGAAAUUUUUGGUGAUGAAAAACCAAGGAGAUUGAGGCCCUUAAAUAAACCUCUAAUAGGGAUGAAUUUGAAUUUGAUUUGAGCUUUCAUUCCUAAUGUUUUUAGGACUUUGAAUCCGAAAAGGAAGAGAACUCUUUGGGAGUUCCUUCCACUCGUUCUUCCCCUUUCCAUGUUAAUUCUAGGCUUCCCAGCACGUGCUUUGCAUGUACUGGCCUAAUUUUUUUUUUUGCUACUUGCUUUAAGAUCUGUAUGGGGUAUUACAUUUUCCUCUUAAAAAGAAAUUUCGUCCUAGAAAUUUUUCUUACUCAAGCCCUAAAAAAUUCAAUGUUACUUUUAUCUCAAGCAAUAGUUAUUCCUUAAUUUUAAAAUCUAAUCUUUCAGUAUAUUAACUUUCAAACGAAAUUAUUGUUCUGAUCAACUUGAAAAUAAUUCCGACCACUGCUUCUGCUGCGCCAAUCUGAUUCGAUACAUUAAUGCACUUGUAUCAAUCUAAGUUUCUAAGAUAUGUCAAAAUCAAUAUAAGCUAUCGUCCCAAUGUCCCUAGUAUCUAUCCAUUUAUACUCAUAUCUGAUUCUAUAUGUCAUAGUUAUCCACUUAUGCUCUGAUACUAUAUUAAUUGUCACACCUCCAAUUCGAGAUCGUGAGCCUAGGGGUCAUGGCAACUGCCGCAUAUUCAUGAAAAACUCUCUCCAUAAGUAUGUAAGGCAUCUCAACACGAUAUCAUAAAACAACAGCGGAACAAAAUUUAAAUAAUUAAUGUUCAACUUUAAUUCAAAUAAAUAAAUCAAAUAUCUUACAAAAUAAGAUUCCAUAACCUUGAAUCAAAUUUCAAUAAAACCUAAUUUAAAACAAAAUAUCAAAAUUCGUCUCUAAUUUACUCUCCCAUAUCGAAUCCCCAAAUCAAGCUAGUCCUCUAAAUCUGUAAAAACAGUAAAAUAAGAGUAAUGAGCUGGACAACCCAAUAAGCAAUGGUUGUCUUGACUAGAUAAUUCAUGUGAUAAUAUAAAUUGCAAUUAUCGAAAUACAAUUAUCAUUAAUCAGUACAUAAACAUAAUCCAAUUCAUUUCAAAAUAUGAAUUCAGUAAUAUCAGUAUCUUUCAAAUAUUCACAUACAUAAUCAUAUAUCUGAUUUUAAAAUUGAUCGUAUUCAAAAAUUCGAUUCAAAAUAAAUUUCACUAAACUUAUCAAUCUUUUACUAUGACCACACUUAUACCUUAUGGUGGGGCCAGAAUACUAUACUUAUACCCUAUGGUCGGGCCAGAAUACCACACUUAUAUCUUGUGGCCAGACCAUAAUACCACACUUAUAACCUGUGGUGGGGCUGGAAUACUAUACUUGUAUCCUGUGGUGGGAUCAGAAACAGAACCAUGAGCUCAAAGUGCCAAUGCAUAACCCCCAAUUGGCAAGGUUCAGAACAUAGCCAGAUUGAAAGUUUAAAACUGAUUCGUAAUAAAAUUCUUUUCAUAUUUCAUAAUUAAAUCAAAAUAUGCACAUAUGAUUUCAAAUCAGUAAAUAGUUACAAUAAUUUUAUAUCAAUUUUCAUUCAAAAUAUAUUUUCAUGAGAUUCAUAAAUCAUAUAUAAAUCAAUCAAUAAUUUUAUUCUAUAUGCAAAAUAAUAUUAUAUAAAUGAAAGAUCUAGAGAAGAUGGAUCAUUACUUACCUCACAUGCUCCAAUGGAUCCAAAUAAUUUCAAAAAUUUCUCUUUCGAAAUCUAAUACCCAAAAUCAUACUUUGAUCAAACUUAAUCAUAAUUAUUUUUAAAGUAAAAAUUCUAAAUCCUCAAAAGGCUAGCUGGCUAUGCGGUAGCGCUCGACAUCCAGCCGGUCAAAUAUAGAACAUCAAAUCAAUCACUAUGAAUCAAGAGUCAAGGUAGGGUGCUACGAUACAAUCGACAAUGAGAUCUCAUGAUGCUCGAUCCGAUCAAAGUGGGAAUCAGUAACUGUCCAAUAGUCAAUGAUCAAGAUCCGUUCAUCAGGAUCUAUCAAGACUAAAGGGUCUUUCUAAAAUCCAAAAAAUUUUAAAAGGGACAUAAUCCAAAAGGUGACACUUUUAGAGAGAGAAAUUGAUAGAGAGAGAAAGUCAGAUUUUUAGAGAGAGAGAAUAGAGAGAGAGUGGAGAGAGAAAGCUAUACUCAACAUCCUCUUCCUUUCUUCUUUAACAGAAUAGGGGGGCUCUUCCUCCCCUUGUUCUCGAAGCUGGGUGGUCCUCCCAGCUGAGGACUCCUAUGGCCGGAGGGAUAGUCCCCGACGGCGACAGCCGGUCGGGUCCGAUGACCGACGACAACCCAUGGCAGCGGAAAACCAAGAGAAUGCAUGGAAAAAAUAAGGGAUUUGAUAACAAAAUUUUCACAGAAUUUUUGGCAGCAAUCAUGUCUAAAAUCUAAGCUUAGGAUCUAGAGAAAACUGAAAGGAAGAUCAUCCGAUUGGGUUACCUUGUCUUCGGCAGAGAUUGGUUUGAUCUUUUGAUGGCCACAAUGAGUUCAAUCACUGAUAAUCCAAGAAGAAAAAUG